rnacentral:rRNA from 1 species
CGGAGGAAAAGAAACCAACAGGGAUUGCCUCAGUAACGGCGAGUGAAGCGGCAAAAGCUCAAAUUUGGAAUCUCAGUCUUUCAGGCUGCGAGUUGUAAUUUGAAGACGUAUUUUGAAGUAAGCACAUGUCGAAGUUCCUUGGAACAGGACGUCACAGAGGGUGAGAAUCCCGUGCGAUGUGUUCACUGCUUCAUGUAAAAUGCAGUCGAAGAGUCGAGUUGUUUGGGAAUGCAGCUCUAAGUGGGUGGUAAAUUCCAUCUAAAGCUAAAUAUUGGCGAGAGACCGAUAGCGAACAAGUACAGUGAUGGAAAGAUGAAAAGAACUUUGAAAAGAGAGUGAAAAAGUACGUGAAAUUGUUGAAAGGGAAGGGCUUGAGAUCAGACUCGGGCAACCGGGCCAGCAUGGGGUGGGGGAGUAGGAUAACCCUGCAGGAAAGUGGCUUCGCUUCGGUGGAGUGUUAUAGCCUGUAGCUAUACUGCUACCCUCGCCCGAGGACUGCGGAAACAAGGAUGCUGGCAUAAUGAUCUUAAGCCGCCCGUCUUA